AUAUACAUAUUUGUGUACAACCGUGCGAUAUCGAAUCGUGAACUUAUUCCACUCGCCUUUAUCAUUUAUCAUUGUCAUGAAAAAGAAAUUUCGACGAUAAAAGGUACAAAUAUAUAACAGGCAUUUGGAUUAUUUCACCAAUAAUUCGUGGUUAAUGACCAUGAUAAUUAUAGUUCAACGAUUAAUGUAAAAAUAAAUAAUUCUAUAACUGCUGCAAUUACCUUCCGAAAAGCGAGCGAUAUUUGUCGCGAAUUGCGUAAUCGGGACUAUAUAACGCUUGUAACGAGUUUAUCGAACGUAUAGGUGGGGAUACCAUCAUGCGAUGUGAAUGAAAAUCAAUCGAGUAUAAUUCCGGAUGUGCAUAAUAGUAAUACGUUAAUGUGUCCAUUUGGUGUCCGCAUUAUCGGCGAUACAUGACGUAAGCAUCAUGUGCUCGUGCAUGCAUUUCGUUUUCACCCGGAAUUAACCGUAUAGGUGGACGACCUUAUUUUGCUUAUCGCGGUUUUUCUACGUCAAGAAUAAUUUACUCAAUUAUUUUCCAAAAAAAUGGAUAUUCAACGUCGGAAAAGUUUACCGAGCUCGUACCUGGUACGAUCUGGUUUUCCGCCCACGUAUCGCCAAUGAAGACGUGAGAAAAUCAAAUUUAGUAAUACUUCUUCUAAUUUCUUAACAGCAUGACCUACAGGUAUAGCCGUGGAAUUAGAUUAGCUUUUUCAAUGAAGUAACAAGUAACCCGCCUAUUCCAAUUCAUUCUGCGAUUGUGCAAAGUGUGAGUGACGGAAUGUGCAUUGCACACAGCAUAAUAUACACAUGUGUUGUAUACUCAUUUCAGAUAUUAUAUUGCGUAACGAUUUUUCAAAAGGAAUUUGAAAAGAAGGAAUAAAAGGAAACUAGUCAAACGGGAUCGUUCACACCGUUAUUGUUAUUAUACAACCCGAAAAUUAACAUGGCAUUAUAUUAACUAGGAGUUUACUUUCUGCGUUUAAACUUCAACGAGACGAAUCGAUGCGAAACUCGACUAACGUAAGCCUACCCUGCGGUAUGAUAUAGGUAUCGUUGGUUAACGAUAAAAAUUCAUAUUUCAAAUACACAUACGUUAUACGUAUACCGAGAAAACUUUGGAAUGUAAAAUAACGAUGUAAAUACAAGACGAAAAUCGAAACCCCACGUAUAUCCGACCCUCGACAAUAUACAAGUCGAUGCGCAUGAAUUCUAUGUUAAUAAAAGGCAAUCAAUGGAUAUUUUAUACGCAUAUUUCAUCCGGAGUUUAUGGGAACUAAUAACCGCAUAUCACAUUGCGUGGAGUUAUUUCUCAUUUGAUGACUGUUGAACAGAAACUUUAUAUCAUGUCUAUACGCAAGAGAAAUACGAGUUCCUUCUAGGGAUGUCUCAUGGAAUAUUCCAGAUCCACAGUUUUGUGUAGGUACACGAUAUGUGUGUGUCUCCAAAUAAUUCGGAGACCAUAUAAGACACAUCUCCAUGCUUACUACAUUCAUUCUCUAACAAGGCAACGUAAAAAUGACGGUUGCUGAAUAAAGUGCGAUAUCAUAAUGUACGUGGAUCGCGAGAUAUUUACGCAGUAUGAGCUCGUGAAUAUAUAAAAAACGAAGUUAAUGUUUAUUUAGCAGCGAUAUAGGCGCAGCUGUUGGCAGUCCAUUUGGUCAAGUUCGAGUUAUAUCUAGAUACGCAAUUAUACGAUCACCAUCAGGUAGCACCCCAUGUGUCACCGAUAUUACCGUGUUUAAGUUGUGACAUUAAAAACCAUCCAUUCCACAUUGUGUUCGGAGAUUACAUACACGAUACAUUCAGCAAUCCGAAUCUUAAGUAAUGAAAGCAGAUUACACGCUCUCAGCGGCUCUCAACGCGGUUAUGAUAAUUGUACUCACGAAUUCGUGAUACUCUUUUCCCAAAACAAAAAAAAAAAAAAAAAUAAGAAAUUUCAAGCGAACGAAUAACGAAGGAGAACUUCAAAGAAUAUCAAAAGUAACGUUGCGGCGAGGAAAAGCAAUCAGCGAAUCAUCGAUUUUCUUGUACAUCUACGAGUAUAGAAAAUUUUCUGAAAGUGAAAAGCAGAGGGUAAUUGGCCUUGAAAUUUGGCUCGGCCACUGUGUAAUGUUUUAAGUAUACAAGCGUUAUCGAAUAUUUUCGUACCUCACUCGUUCAGUAUGCCUGCUCGUCUUCUGUAAAAAGCUAUUCGGUAACCGAAAUGAUAAAUAUCUGAAUUGAUAAGAUGAAAAAUGAAUCCUGUUGCCAUUCUUUUUGGUAUCUACUUGGAAGUCAAGAAUCCCGUAAAUCAUUGUACUGAAUGUGUACGUAUACCACGCAGGUUAAUCGUGACGUUACGAUCCCCGACUACCCACAUGACGUCAGAUCGUAGACGUUAGUUAAAUUAUAAAGAUGACCUUUUUAUAAACCACGCACCCACUACGUUUGUAACUUACGUGACUGCAGUAAA